UGCUGGGGAGGCGGCUGGCUGUGUGAACAUCCUGCAGGUUCCACAGGUUUCAUCGGGAGAAGCCAAAAAGAGAACCAAGCCUUCAGCUCCUCCCGAAAAAGGGGGCCCCACCUAGGGAACUCGGAGAAAGGCAAAAAAAAAAAAAAAAAAAGGCCGG